ensembl:miRNA
GGGCCGGUUAGCUCAGAUGGUCAGAGCGUGGUGCUAAUAACGCCAAGGUCAUGGGUUCAAUCCCCAUACUGGCCAAGGAUUGCC